UACGAAGGGGGCUAGCGUUGUUCGGAAUUACUGGGCGUAAAGCGCACGUAGGCGGAAUGUUAAGUCAGGGGUGAAAUCCCGGGGCUCAACCCCGGAACUGCCUUUGAUACUGGCAUUCUCGAGUCCGGAAGAGGUGAGUGGAAUUCCGAGUGUAGAGGUGAAAUUCGUAGAUAUUCGGAGGAACACCAGUGGCGAAGGCGGCUCGCUGGGACGUGACUGACGCUGAGACGCGAAAGCGUGGGGAGCAAACAGG
rnacentral:rRNA from 1 species